rnacentral:snRNA from 14 species
CGUUUGUAAACCAAUCUAUCAGGGCCUCUACCGAGACCCAGAGUCCAGUUUUUGGGAACCUCCCACGCUUGGGGGGUUA